AUUGAACGCUGGCGGCAGGCCUAACACAUGCGAGUCGAACGGUAACAGGAAGCAGCUUGCUGCUUUGCUGACGAGUGGCGGACGGGUGAGUAAUGUCUGGGAAACUGCCCGAUGGAGGGGGAUAACUACUGGAAACGGUACCUAAUACCGCAUAACGUCGCAAGACCAAAGAGGGGGACCUUAGGGCCUCUUGCCAUCGGAUGUGCCCAGAUGGGAUUAGCUAGUAGGUGGGGUAACGGCUCACCUAGGCGACGAUCCCUAGCUGGUCUGAGAGGAUGACCAGCCACACUGGAACUGAGACACGGUCCAGACUCCUACGGGAGGCAGCAGUGGGGAAUAUUGCACAAUGGGCGCAAGCCUGAUGCAGCCAUGCCGCGUGUAUGAAGAAGGCCUUCGGGUUGUAAAGUACUUUCAGCGGGGAGGAAGGGAGUAAAGUUAAUACCUUUGCUCAUUGACGUUACCCGCAGAAGAAGCACCGGCUAACUCCGUG
rnacentral:rRNA from 1 species